GUCCUUCGAGGAAACCUGAUAAACUAGAAUUGAAAACAGAGAAGAUUAGCGUGGCCCCUAGGCAAAGAUGACACGUGUACAUUGAGAAUUGGAUCGAUUUUUU